rnacentral:tRNA from 1 species
GCUGGGGCUCGGGCUCAGUGGUAGAAUGCUCACCUAGCACGUGUGAGACCCUGGGUUCGAUCCUCAGCACAACA